AGUCGAACGAACUCUUCGGAGUUAGUGGCGGACGGGUGAGUAACACGUGGGAACGUGCCUUUAGGUUCGGAAUAACUCAGGGAAACUUGUGCUAAUACCGAAUGUGCCCUUCGGGGGAAAGAUUUAUCGCCUUUAGAGCGGCCCGCGUCUGAUUAGCUAGUUGGUGAGGUAAAGGCUCACCAAGGCGACGAUCAGUAGCUGGUCUGAGAGGAUGAUCAGCCACAUUGGGACUGAGACACGGCCCAAACUCCUACGGGAGGCAGCAGUGGGGAAUCUUGCGCAAUGGGCGAAAGCCUGACGCAGCCAUGCCGCGUGAAUGAUGAAGGUCUUAGGAUUGUAAAAUUCUUUCACCGGGGACGAUAAUGACGGUACCCGGAGAAGAAGCCCCGGCUAACUUCGUGCCAGCAGCCGCGGUAAUACGAAGGGGGCUAGCGUUGCUCGGAAUUACUGGGCGUAAAGGGAGCGUAGGCGGACAUUUAAGUCAGGGGUGAAAUCCCGGGGCUCAACCUCGGAAUUGCCUUUGAUACUGGGUGUCUUGAGUAUGAGAGAGGUGUGUGGAACUCCGAGUGUAGAGGUGAAAUUCGUAGAUAUUCGGAAGAACACCAGUGGCGAAGGCGACACACUGGCUCAUUACUGACGCUGAGGCUCGAAAGCGUGGGGAGCAAACAGGAUUAGAUACCCUGGUAGUCCACGCCGUAAACGAUGAUUGCUAGUUGUCGGGAUGCAUGCAUUUCGGUGACGCAGCUAACGCAUUAAGCAAUCCGCCUGGGGAGUACGGUCGCAAGAUUAAAACUCAAAGGAAUUGACAGGGGCCCGCACAAGCGGUGGAGCAUGUG
rnacentral:rRNA from 1 species